AUAUCAAUAAGCGGAGGAAAAGAAACUAACAAGGAUUCCCCUAGUAACUGCGAGUGAAGCGGGAAAAGCUCAAAUUUAAAAUCUGGCGGUCUUCUGGUCAUGUCCGAGUUGUAAUCUAGAGAAGCGUCUAUCCGCGCUGGACCGUGCACAAGUCUCCUGGAAUGGAGCGUCAUAGAGGGUGAGAAUCCCGUCUUUGACAUGGACUGCCAGGGCUUCUGUGAUGCGCUCUCAAAGAGUCGAGUUGUUUGGGAAUGCAGCUCAAAAUGGGUGGUGAACUCCAUCUAAAGCUAAAUAUUGGCGAGAGACCGAUAGCGAACAAGUACCGUGAGGGAAAGAUGAAAAGCAACUUUGGAAAGAGAGUUGAAACAGUAC
rnacentral:rRNA from 1 species